GAUGAACGCUGGCGGCGUGCCUAAUACAUGCAAGUAGAACGCUGAAGGAAGGAGCUUGCUCUUUCCGGAUGAGUUGCGAACGGGUGAGUAACGCGUAGGUAACCUGCCCGGUAGCGGGGGAUAACUAUUGGAAACGAUAGCUAAUACCGCAUAACAGUAGAUGUUGCAUGAUAUCUACUUAAAAGGUGCAAUUGCACCACUACCAGAUGGACCUGCGUUGUAUUAGCUAGUUGGUGAGGUAACGGCUCACCAAGGCGACGAUACAUAGCCGACCUGAGAGGGUGAUCGGCCACACUGGGACUGAGACACGGCCCAGACUCCUACGGGAGGCAGCAGUAGGGAAUCUUCGGCAAUGGACGGAAGUCUGACCGAGCAACGCCGCGUGAGUGAAGAAGGUUUUCGGAUCGUAAAGCUCUGUUGUAAGAGAAGAACGAGUGUGAGAGUGGAAAGUUCACACUGUGACGGUAUCUUACCAGAAAGGGACGGCUAACUACGUG
rnacentral:rRNA from 1 species